UCUGAUAGCUGCAAGAAAAUAUUUGGCAACCUCACCUGAUAGGCAUCAUAAAGACUUGGACGUAUAAGCUCGGCCAUACUACCAUCAAUCACAAUGAAGUUUUUGGUUCCAUUGGUUUUAACUCCGGUAACUCUGUUAACCAAGCAGCAUGUGUUUGCAAUUAGUGAUCUUCCAGGUUCAAUAAUCAGAUUGAGGUUUCGAGAAAGGACCAAUUCUCGUACCUGCAAUACACAUGAUAGGAAGUGUCAGCUAAACCACAGGUGAGGUCCACAGUUUGAGCAAUAACUUUAAUUUUAUUCAAAAUUCAAAAAUUCUAGCACGCUACCCUUCAAGUAAGGGAACCCCCUUUGACCUUCUCUCGAAUGACCUUAUUUCUAAUCCAAUCUGCUCUGGUAAGUCUACAUAUCCAUCUCAGCAGGGGCGGAGCUACCCUUCAAGUAGGGGAACCCCCUUCAUCGAAAAAUUAUGCUAUAUAUACAUAGUUAAAAUUAUUUAUUAUGUAUAUAGUAGAUGUUGAACCCCCUCCGGUUAGUUCGUAUGUUCACUAAUGAACUCCCUUAGUGAAAAUCCUGGCUCCGCCAUUGCAUUUCAGCAUCCUUAUCUUAGUCACCUUCAACUUCUCAAUGUGAGAGUUCUUAACUGGCUAACACUCUACUUCAUAUAAUAUAAUUGUAAUCUAUUUAAUUUUUUAAAAUGAAUUGAAGUGCUUUAACCAAUUAAUUAAAGUAUUUCUAUUGCGAUGAGGCGUAAUUAAUUGAAGUAAUUUUAUUAUGCAAUAUGCACAUAGAUUUGUGCUAUAUAUAACAGUAACAUAUUAUAACUUUUAAAAUAAAUUAAAAUUUUUUGGCCGACUACUUAAAAUAAUCCUAUUGGAAUGACGCGAAAUUAAUUGAUCGAUUAAUUACAAUAUUAUUGCGAUGAUGCAUGUUUUUAAAAAAAAAAUUUUAAAAAUGGGGGUAGUGGAAUGGGGAUGGGGGAGGGGAUUACAAUGUGGGGAAUCGAACCCUCACCAACCAAGUGAGAGUUCAGGUAACUAACCAACUAAGCUACUAAGAUUUUCCAUGAUGCAUGGUUAAUUGGUCAAUUAUUUAAUGUAAUUCUGCAAUAUGUACAUGUGAUUUCUCUACUACAUAACAAUGAUAUAUUUUAUUUUUUUAAAAUAAAUUGAAGCACUUUGACCGAUUAAUUAAAGUAAUCAUGUUGCAAUGAGACCCAAUUAAUUAACUGGUUAAUUGAAAUUAUCCUAUUAUGCAAUUAGUGAUCUUCCAGGUUCAAUAAUCAGAUUGAGGUUUCGAGAAAGGACCAAUUCUCGUACCUGCAAUACACAUGAUAGGAAGUGUCAGCUAAACCACAGGUGAGGUCCACAGUUUGAGCAAUAACUUUAAUUUUAUUCAAAAUUCAAAAAUUCUAGCACGCUGAUAUACCAUUACAGCCUUGCACUAUGUCAAUUACCAGUCAGUAGAGCUUUAAAUGCUAAAGCAAUCUAUCUCUCUCACCCACACUGCCCACUAUAAAUCGUAACAAUCAAGGUGGUUUCUGCCACCAGCCCCCUAAACUUCAGUUGAAAAUAAAAACUAAUACCCAGUAGCCACCUCAAAAUGACCAGUCUACAUGGGAUAAUAAAGAAAUACGUAUGUUAACAUAUACUGUUAGUCUCUUAGACUCACGAGUAUAGCAAAAAUUGUUUCAGGUAUGUUCCAAAGUCUUUGGGACAAGUGAAUUAGCAUCAAAGUGAAAUAAAGUCACUACUACUAAGAGCCAGACUUGGGGCAAAUCACUCUACAAAAAACAUCCCGGCACAUGUCAUAUAUCUUAUAUGAGAUAGACAAAUUUA
rnacentral:lncRNA from 1 species